AUGAGCCCAGCUGUAAGCCUGCGACGACCUCACGCUAAGCAAAGUCACGAUGGCCGUGGGGAUGUAGGGGCCGCCGUCGAGGUCAAGCAAGACACGUUGCGCAGCCGGCUCGGCAUGGGCCGGAAGCUCCACCUCCUCAGCGCCGCGCCGCGCGCGCCCGUGGCCGGCGGCGAAAGCGCCCGCCGCACCAGCUCCCGGUUCCCCGCCGGCGCCCGGUCAGCGCCAGCUCUGCACGGCUGCCGCCUCGACGACGCGGCCGCCGGCAAUCCACCUCCAGCGCCCCACCAGCUGCGCCCCGCUUGCCCCCACGCGGCGUCGCCGCCGCCACCCGCGGACCGUUGGCCCGGCGAGCCCGCCGCCGGCCUGCUGGGCCGCGGCAGCCCACCGCGCGGCGCGCGGACGUGCUGCUGCCCUGCCGCCACCACCGCCGGCGAGAAAGUUCUGGUGCUACUCAUCGCACGUGUCCGUCCGCUCCUGUUCUCGUUCUCUUCUCCUCCUCGUCCUCGUCCCGUCGCCGAGCCCGCUCUUAUACGCAUGGGUUUUGCAAGCGCACGAUGA
rnacentral:rRNA from 1 species